rnacentral:rRNA from 1 species
AUACGGAGGAUGCGAGCGUUAUCCGGAUUUAUUGGGUUUAAAGGGUGCGUAGGCUGUGCGUUAAGUCAGGGGUGAAAUGCCGUCGCUCAACGACGGAGCUGCCCUUGAUACUGGCGUGCUGAGUACGGAUGCCGGUGGAGGAAUGAGUGGUGUAGCGGUGAAAUGCUUAGAUAUCACUCAGAACCCCGAUUGCGAAGGCAUCUGACGAAUCCGUCACUGACGCUGAGGCACGAAAGCGUGGGGAUAGAACAGGAUUAGAUACCCUGGUAUUCCACGCCGUAAACGAUGAUGACUAACCGUCGGCGAUAGACAGCCGGUGGCCAAGCGAAAGCGAUAAGUCAUCCACCUGGGGAGUACGUCGGCAACGAUGAAACUCAAAUGAAUUGACGGGG